rnacentral:rRNA from 1 species
UGAGACACGGCCCAGACUCCUACGGGAGGCAGCAGUAGGGAAUCUUCCGCAAUGGACGAAAGUCUGACGGAGCAACGCCGCGUGAGUGAUGAAGGUUUUCGGAUCGUAAAACUCUGUUGUUAGGGAAGAACAAGUAUCGUUCGAAUAGGGCGGUACCUUGACGGUACCUAACCAGAAAGCCACGGCUAACUACGUGCCAGCAGCCGCGGUAAUACGUAGGUGGCAAGCGUUGUCCGGAAUUAUUGGGCGUAAAGCGCGCGCAGGCGGUUUCUUAAGUCUGAUGUGAAAGCCCACGGCUCAACCGUGGAGGGUCAUUGGAAACUGGGAGACUUGAGUGCAGAAGAGAAGAGCGGAAUUCCACGUGUAGCGGUGAAAUGCGUAGAGAUGUGGAGGAACACCAGUGGCGAAGGCGGCUCUUUGGUCUGUAACUGACGCUGAGGCGCGAAAGCGUGGGGAGCGAACAGGAUUAGAUACCCUGGUAGUCCACGCCGUAAACGAUGAGUGCUAAGUGUUAGAGGGUUUCC